GUGGAAGAGGAAGAGGGAGAGAGCGAUUUAAAAGAGAAAAAAAAAAUUAAAAAUAAAAAAAAAUAAAAAAAAAAAGGGUGUGUGUCUGAGAGGUGAGAUGGGUGGAAAAAUUUUAAAAUACACCAGUUAUAUUACUGACGUGAUAUUUUUUUAUUAAUAAAAAAAAUAAAAAAAGAAAAAAAAGGUGUGUGUGGGGGGGGGUGGAUGAGGAAGAGGGAGAGAGCGAUUUAAAAGAGAAAAAAAAAUUUAAAAAUGAAAAAAAAUAAAAAAAAGGGUGCGUGUGUGAGAGGUGAGAUGGGUGGAAAAAUUUUAGAAUGCACCAGUUAUAUUACUGAUGUGGUAUUUUUUAUUAAUAAAAAAAAAAUUUAAAUACCACUCCUGUGGUUUCGUACUUUCACUUUUUAGUAUCAUAUUGUUUAAUGUGUAUCGAUUUAGUGUCAUGUGGUUUCAUUUUUUUUUAUUAUUAAUUUUACUAGUUUUUUCCUUAAAUUAGUGACGAAAUUAAAACUAAAGAAUAUUAAAGUGACUAUUUGAUAAACUUAGGUGGGUAUCUAAAGUAUUUUGUAUUUAAUUUUACCAAAUAUUAAUGAAGAAGCUGACAAAAAGAAAAAAAAUAAAACCAUAUGGCACUAAAUUGAUACACUUUAAAUCACAGAAUACUAAAAUAAGAAAGUGUGAAACCACAGUCUACAAGGAUGGUAUUUGAAGUUUACCCUUAAUAAAAUUGUCCCACUUAAAUUCUUAAUAAAAAAAUAUUAUUAUUGUAUAUUUUUUAAAAAAAAAUAUUAUUAAUUUGUUAUUAAUUAUAUGGUAUAAAUAUGACACUGUAAAUUUUCUCUAGAUG
rnacentral:lncRNA from 1 species